rnacentral:rRNA from 1 species
AUGAUAACCGGUGAAAUGCCUCCCUCAAAGCCUGACGGUGGUGCAAAUCACCACCUACUUGGCCAUGAUGAUGUUCACAGAACUGCAACGACUGCCUCCGAGAAUGGCUUUACAACCCAUUCAGUUCACGCUUCAGGAGUGAAGGUCAAUGGCCCGAAUGUGACAAAUGUCGCGAGGGGCGACAUAUCAACUACGCCGAUUCCUCAAACAACAGAUUCACAUCAUGUAGCGGUAUCAGUCCCUGAAGAAGUGAAUCUGGUUGCUCCUAGACCACAACAGAGGGAUGACUGGGAUAUACCGAAAGCCAUAGUAUAUGGAGGCUUAGUGGAGUCGGUCACCAGCCUCUCCGUUGUUUCAGCAGCAGCAUCAAGUGGAGCAAAAACAUUGGACAUAUUCAUCCUGGGCAUAGCCAACCUUAUCGGAGGGCUUCCUGUCAUUUACCACAAUAUCGCCGAUCUGAGAGACAUCCGAGACGUGGACGAUGACAACGAGCAGGUCGGCCAGUACUGGCUGCAGCUCGGAAGGCGGUCGAAAGCCCAGCUCCACAUGGUCCUGGCCCUGCUCUCAUACAUCGUGUUCGGGCUGCUUCCACCAGUCAUCUACGGGUUGUCGUUCCGCGAGAGCAAUGACAGGGAGAACAAGAUGAUGGCCGUCGCCGGCGCUUCACUCGCGUGCAUCGCUCUGCUAGCGCUCGGAAAGGCGCAUGUACAGACAGCACCCAGGGCAUACUUCAAGACUCUCAUGUACUACCUGACCAUCGCCGUGAGCUCGUCGGGGCUGUCGUACGUCGCAGGUGUGCUGAUCACGCGGCUCUUGGAGCACUUUGGAACCAUCGAGCAAGGUGGGUUGGCUGCUCCUGCUCCUCCAGGCCUGUCGUUCGCUCAUUCAGAGGGUGCACAGACAUCUGCAUGGGCCUCAUUCUGA